AGAGUUUGAUCAUGGCUCAGGACGAACGCUGGCGGCGUGCUUAACACAUGCAAGUCGAGCGGUUCUUUAUUCAAGCUUGCUUGGGUAAAGGAUAGCGGCGAACGGGUGAGUAACGCGUGGGUGACCUGCCCGGGAGAUCGGGAUAACAGUUCGAAAGGGCUGCUAAUACCGGAUGAUAUCUUUUCUUUUCGGAGGGGAGAUCAAAGCGUUUAGCGCUCUCGGAUGGGCCCGCGUCCCAUUAGUUAGUUGGUGGGGUAAUGGCCUACCAAGGCAGCGAUGGGUAGCCGGUCUGAGAGGAUGUUCGGCCACACUGGGACUGAGACACGGCCCAGACUCCUACGGGAGGCAGCAGUGGGGAAUUUUGCGCAAUGGGGGAAACCUUGACGCAGCGACGCCGCGUGAGUGAUGAAGGCCUUCGGGUUGUAAAGCUCUGUUGGGGGGGAAGAUAGUGACGGUACCCCCUGAGGAAGCCCCGGCUAACUACGUGCCAGCAGCCGCGGUAAGACGUAGGGGGCGAGCGUUGUCCGGAAUUACUGGGCGUAAAGGGCGUGUAGGCGGCCUUUCAAGUCGGCUGUGAAAUUCCUUGGCUUAACUGAGGGUGUGCAGUCGAAACUGAUGGGCUUGAGUGCAGGAGAGGGUGGUGGAAUUCCCGGUGUAGCGGUGACAUGCGUAGAUAUCGGGAGGAACACCGGUGGCGAAGGCGGCCUCCUGGUCUGUUACUGACGCUGAGGCGCGAAAGCCGGGGGAGCAAACAGGAUUAGAUACCCUGGUAGUCCCGGCCGUAAACUCUGGGUACUAGGUGUAGGGGGCUUCGAUGCCUUCUGUGCCGUAGUUAACGCAUUAAGUACCCCGCCUGGGGAGUACGAUCGCAAGGUUGAAACUCAAAUGAAUUGACGG
rnacentral:rRNA from 1 species